GACGAACGCUGGCGGCGCACCUAAGACAUGCAAGUCGAACGGUUUCUUCUUUCGGGGAGAGAUAGUGGCGGACGGGUGAGUAACACGUGGAGGACCUGCCCCGCGGUGGGGAAUAACGCCGGGAAACCGGCGCUAAGACCGCAUACGAGCGGCGCCAUAGGGGGCGUCGCGGAAAUGCGUCCCGCGAGGGACGCAGCCGUGGGAGGGCUCCGUGGCGGAUUAGCCCGUUGGCGGGGUAACGGCCCACCAAAGCAACGANCCGUAGCUGGUCUGAGAGGAUGGCCAGCCACACCGGGACUGAGACACGGCCCGGACUCCUACGGGAGGCAGCAGUUAGGGUAAUUUUCCCAAUGGGCGCAAGCCUGAGGGAGUGACGCCGCGUGCGGGAGGACGGCCUCGGUCGUAACG
rnacentral:rRNA from 1 species